rnacentral:rRNA from 1 species
CUGGGCGUAAAGCGCAUGCAGGUGGUUGUAAGUCAGAUGUGAAAGCCCGGGGCUCAACCUCGGAAUUGCAUUUGAAACUGGCAAACUAGAGUACUGUAGAGGGGGUAGAAUUUCAGGUGUAGCGGUGAAAUGCGUAGAGAUCUGAAGGAAUACCGGUGGCGAAGGCGGCCCCCUGGACAGAUACUGACACUCAGAUGCGAAAGCGUGGGGAGCAAACAGGAUUAGAUACCCUGGUAG